rnacentral:lncRNA from 10 species
AUUCAGCACCAUGAACUGGUAGAAAUGAAGUAAACCUAUCAGAAGAGUGACAGGUGUAGAGUCUCUUGUGCCCAGGGGCUCCCAUUCAAUGUGAAUUGUAUUUUAUAAUAUACCAAGAGCCCCCAAACACAGAAGUGACCUGGACCUCUCUCAGCAUCUGUAGAGGAAGCAUUUUAGAAAAGCGGAAAAUAAAAGUGAUAGGACAGAAAUACAAUGGCUGUCAAAGAAGAAAACUCUACAUUACUGUCACCUAGAAAGAUAAACUCUACAGUUGGAAAUUCUGUCCAAUUUCUUCCAUGUGGCAGAUGCUGUGAUGAGCCACCGAGAUCCUCCUUCAGGAAGGAAGACUUAUUCCUCCAGAUGCUAAGAGUGCUACUGGAGGAUGGCUCUCAGCUGUGAGCCCUCAGCUGAAGACAGUUGUCUCACCUUGAUCAGGCCUCCUUCCAGAAGUAGCCUGCCUUUGAUGACAAACUGAUUGGGCUGAGGGGAACACUAUAAAGGCCAGUUCUCAGUCCCUAUUUGAUAUGACUCUCAAGAUUAAAGCUAGUGCAGUGCUCCCCAUGGGGACAGGGGAAGGCUUC